UCUGCAGGAACAAAGAGAGGAGGUACUGUGAGGUGGAGGAGUCUUGGAUCCCACUUGAUCUGGUUCUAGCUGCUACUCCCUGAGUGUGGGUCCCAUCUAAUCAGUGGCUUAACACAUGGCUCUUAGGAUGAUCUUGUGUAGGUCUUAGAGACAGAUACUUUCUGAGAGGGGGUGCCUCCUCUUCUUUUCUCUAAAAUGAAAACAUCUAUAAAACAUUUGAAGGGGCUGGGGAUUUAGCUCAGUGGUAGAGCGCUUACCUAGGAAGCGCAAGGCCCUGGGUUCGGUCCCCAGCUCCGAAAAAAAAAAAAAAAAGAACCAAAAAAAAAAAAAAUUGAAAAAAUGUACCAUGCCGUAAAUUCUUGAACAACCGAUACAGGCUGGACACCCUACUUGGAGAAACUAAACUCUUAACAUCAAUAUGCUUGUGAUCUUAGCACUCCGGAGGUCAAGGAAGGAGGAUAUCAAGUUUGAGGCCAGCCUGGGAUAUGUAGUCAGACCUAAAAGAAUAAAAAAAAAUAAAAUCCAAAAUGCUCCCAUAAAGAAACAUUUUGAGACCUAUAACAUCUCAAGUGGAAAGACUACACACCAUAAAACUUUACUUCAUGUAUAAAAUAUUCAAAUAGUGUAUAAAAUUAACUUUUAGGCUAUGUGUAUAAGGUAUAUCAUAUAAGAAAAUUUAUGUUUAUAUGUGUCUAUCUAAAACAUAUUAGUAUAUUUACAUAUAUAUUAUAUAUGUGAUUAUAUUCUUAUUCUAUAUUAUAUUCUCUAUGUAACAUACAUAUACUAUAGAAUAUAUAUUAUAGAAUUAAUUCUAUAAGAUAUAUUGCAUAUAUGUGGAAAUAUUCUUAAACUGGAAUAUAUUCCUAACUUGAAAAACUUUUUAUUUAUUUUUUGACUCCUUUUGGGCUAUAUAAUCUCCUUUGUCAGGCUGGCUGGAUGUGGGAUCACUAGGAGACAGGUCUGGGAGUGUUUCUUUGGAGGCUUAAGUGAGCAGGGAAGACCCAUCUCCGACAUGGGCGGUGUCCUCCCAGGCUGAAGGAAAGGGAAAGAGAGAGAGUGAGCUGAGCACCAACACCCUGCUCUUCCUGCUCUCCAACAGUGGACAGAGGGCUAAACAAACCCAUCCUCCCUCUCUUAGGUUUGGUUUUGUUUGGCAGUCUGUCACAACAAUGACAGACACAAUACGCACUCCUACUUCAAACAGAGUAAGUAGUGUUGACAGAUAAACACGAGGGGAAUGCUUUUUUUUUUUUUAAAUUUUGAGGUAGGGUAUUUGUAGCCGAGGCUAGCCCUGUCCACCUGCCUCAGCCUUUCCAGUGCUCGGGUUAUAAGUUGAGUCCAGGAAUGGGGCCACCAUCUCCCAGCAUUCCCUGCUGCAGCAGCCCUGGCUUCACCCUCAGGGAGCUCAUUCUUCUGAACUUCUGAACUGCUCUCACGAACCAGGGCUGGCUUCCCAGUUCCAGAACAUUCUAUCCUGGAUUGAAGGACUCUGUUGCUCUUACCACACUUUCCCUCAGAUCCAGCAGGGGCAUCCAGGACGUAAGUAGCCACUGCUGCCCCAGCAUCAUUAGAGAACAUUCUGGACCAGUUCGCUGCAAGCCCAGUCGAGGGCAGCCUGUCUCUUUCCAUCAUAGACCCUGCCAGUUUACCUAAGCCUGCAUGAGGUCUGUCUGUUCAGAGGUCCUCCCAGAAGGACCUGGGUCCUGAGCCAUAGCUGGCAGUGUGCAUGUGUGCCCAUAUGUGUAUGUGUGCAUGUCUCUGUGCCUGUGCAUUUCUGUGUGUGUGUGUGUGUAUGUGUGCAUGUGCACAUGCAUGUGUGUAUGUGCACAUGCAUGUGUGCCCACAAGCAUGUGCCUGAACAUGUGGACGUGUCUGGGUCUCUUCCUCCAUUGCUCUCCACCUCAUUUUUUAAGACAGGGUCUGUCAUCAAAUCUUGAGCUCGGAAAUUGGCUAGACUGGCUGGCCAUCUCCACCCGCCUUCACCUCCCGGUACUGGGGUCACAGAUUUUUCCUUAGCUCUUAUGUGGAGGCUGGGGAUGAGAACUCGUGUCCUCAUGCUUGGGAGACAAGCACUUUACCUAGUGCUUUACCACUUUCUCACCUCAUCAUCAGUACUUUGAGUAUCUACUUGAUUACUACCUACGUUAUUUUAAUUUUUAAAAAUUGCCUUUAUUUUAUGUGCGUUGGUGUUUUGCCUGCAUGUAUAUGUCUAUAUGAGAGUGUCGGAUCUGGAGUUACAGACAGUUAUGAGCUGCCAGGUGGAUCCUGGGUUUCGAACCCCAGUCCUCUGGAAGGGCAGUCAGUGCCCUUAACCACUGAGCCAUCUCUCCAGCCCUCUAUUUUUUAAUUUUUUGAGACAGAGUCUCACUUUGUAGCCCAAGCUGAUCUGGCACUCAUAAUCCCCUGCCUCAGCCUCUUUCCUUGUGCCAGCACAUCCUGUUUCCCAACUGUCUUUUUGUUUAAUCUCCCAGCACUCUCCCUUCUCUGAGGCUGUGAAAUCCUUAAGGGUUCACGUGUCUUUGUACCUUUAUAAAUUGGCACUUAAGCUCAGACACCUUCGAGGUGUGUGUUAAAUCAAGGAGCUCGAACAUUGCCCUGUGUUUCUCAUAGCAUUAUCGUGCAGCUCAAUGCGGACCUCAGUGCUUCGUUCCUUGGGAUGUAGUGGGGCUCAGAUCCUCGUGUGACUAAUGUAACAACAAGGCCUCCCCCACAGCAGCUGACAGUCCUGUGUCAUACAACCUGACUGUAUGUAACAAUGACAGGGGGUAAGGACAUCUUCUCCCAUUUGACAGAUAAGACAAGGCUCAGCGAGCUUAACUCAUCUUGCCAAGGUCACGGUGUCAUUGCUAACAGUGCUGGUAUUUUCUGCUGAGUUACCUGACUUUUUUUUUUUUUCUUUUUUUUCGGAGCUGGGGACCGAACCCAGGGCCUUGCGCUUGCUAGGCAAGCGCUCUACCACUGAGCUAAAUCCCCAACCCCGAGUUACCUGACUCUUGGCAUUGGGUUUCCCCGGGGUACCCAGGAAAGUGCUGGGGUGCAACUUAUGCUCGCUAAUCGUUUAUGGAGACUCCUGCUGCUGCCUUCUAGAGGCUGAGGUCUCCUGCCUGCUGUUUAUACCCACUCCCCCUUCACUGUACCCCACACAAACAAAGGAUGGGGACACUGAGACCAAGCCAGAAGCUGCUAGAAUGCCCCUCAGUGGCCUCUGUCCUCAGAGUCAGCAGAUGUGGGAGCCAGUUCGCAGCUCUGUCAGUCCCAGAGCCAAUCCUUCCCUUACUCGCUCUGCCUGAGAGGUCAAUGGUUUGAAGAAAUUGGUAUGUCUAGAUUAGUAUCUGUAGCAUGAAGCACAGCAAUGCACGGGUAUUUUGUCCACUUUCCAACAGGUUUAAGGGUUGUCCUAGCAUCCUCAGGGUUCACUCCCCCUCUUACCCACUGUCUGGUCCUCCCUAGAAUUGCUGACUUUUGGCCCUUCUUGGUCUGUCACGGAAUGCUGGCUCAGUCCUUCCUCCGUUCCACCUGUGUGCACCAAGUCACAACCCCCAAACUUGGAAGGGUAGCAGCUCAUGCUGGGCCUCCCAGGAAACACUGGAAAAGCAACAGGCUGAGGUCCCGGGCCAACAUUCCAUAGCCUGGCACCAGAUUGGCUGACUUUGGUGGAAUAAGCAGGCACAGGCCUUGGUGAAGAGAUGAAUGCAGAGGCUUCUGGGCCAACUCAACAGCCGGCACUGGAGGUCCAGGGAGGGACCAUCUGGAGUAGGGGGAGAGCCAGCACCACCUGCAGUGCGGGCGGGUGGGGGACAUGGUGCAUCCGAGUUUGCUAGAUACUUAGCUAAGGUGGCCCGUGAUGGUUGGUGUAAGAUUAGGGUAAUGGUGGGUGGUGGCUUCCAGGACCUCCAGAAUAAUUAACUCUUUGUUACUGGGGUGACCCAGCCACCCUGAGGAAUGUGCAACCUGUGGUGGGGGUGGUUCAAUUCUCAAAGUAUUGUGGGGAAAUGGCUCACGAGUGCGUACACACACACACACACACACACACACACACACACACACACACACACAGAGUCAACUACUGAUAAGUUCCCCUAUUUCUGACCUUAAUCCUUAUUUGACUUAUCUUUCUCAACUUCUAUCUCCUAGGCACAGAUCCUUAGAACACAAAGAGCAGGCCCAUAGCUCUUGGCUGACUUGGGCUCCUCUGAUUAGCCUGGAAACCCAGCAACAGAGUGAGCUGGGGCUUGCAGAGUAAUGGAGCCGGAGCCGGGAAGCAGGUGCAGGGCCGAUAGUGAAACAAGAGUGGAGAGCAGCCCCUUCAGGAGCGACUUAUCAGCUGCUCAGGGCCUGAUGGCUUUGGAAGUCCUUGUGAUUCGAUUUCAGGCUUGACAGGAGAGGUCGGUAGGAUGACAAAGUGAGUCAUAAGUAGGACAUGGGCAUUUAGCUAGCGUGAGCCAAAUCUUACUUUUCUAGCUUCAUGCUCUUCACGGGCGUGCGUGCGUGAAUGAGCGCGCAAGUGUGUGUUUGCAUAAGAGUGUGUGUUUGUCUCUGUGUGUGUGUGCACACGUGUCCAUGCAUGGGUGUGUGCACUUGUGUGUGGAGGUCAGAGGGGGACGUUGAGUGUCUUUGUUAAUUGCUUUCUACCGUAUUUCUUGAGACAGAGUCUCACUGAAACUAGAGCUUGCCAAUUCUAGCCAGCAAACUCUAGGGGCCCGCCCAGUGCUGAUAUUAUAGAUGUGUGCCACCAUGUAUGACUUUUUUAUGGGGUGUUGGGGAUCUGCAGUCGGGUCCUCAUGCCUGCACACUUGACUACCUGGCCCUUUCUCUGGCUUCUUGAACAAUUGAGCCUUAGUUGGUUUGUACAAGGUGCUGACAACUGUUGUUUGGGGGCCUGCUGGGAAUUCUUAAACAAGAGUCUAGCUCUAAGGAGAGAGCCCUAUCCUCUACUCCCUAAUUCUAGUUUCACUUACAAUAACACACAUACCUUCAUGGAUGGAGGAUAGAAACAAGCCCGAGGGUAAGGAGAGGAGAAGGGCAGGGUGUGGGCCAUGGAGGAAGAUAGCCCAGGCUGGGCAGGGCGUACCUGAAGGCCUGGCCUCUAUUACAUAGCGUGUGAUGGGUCCUUUGCCAGGAUCUCCGCUGGACCAGUGGAUGGCAAUGGCCGAGCUGUACCGAACAAUGAUUGGUACUCCUGGUGGUCCUGGUGCACCUGCAAACACCCCAUAGUGUAUAAGGGCACCUGUGGAACCAAGAAUGGCCUCCCUUUACAACAACCUGUGCUGGUGGUAGGAGGGGCUGGGCAACCAGAUCAACUCUAGAUGUAGAGCCUCCAGGACUUCUUGCAAAUACUAGGUCUGAAGAGUCUCUCUUGGGCCAGGCCUGCCAGGAUGUGACCACUGUCUCUUCCUGUUACUCCCACACCCCACAUUCCGAAUCCCAGGGCAAGGCAUGGUGGGGUCGAUGAUCCUGGGGUGAGCUCUAGAGCAGAGUCAGAGGACAAAGGCAUGUAAGACUCGCCAGAACUUAUUACGUGAUCCACUUGCGGAACCCUUCAGGGGUGCCUCAGUUUACCAAUCUGUAAGGGCCUUGUGGAAGGAAGUCUUGAAAGGAGAUACCACGGUGGGCAGCAGAGGUGUUCAGACUGAUAGGAAUGAGGUCUGUCUGAGGGAGCGAAGGCCCCUUUAACAUUUCCUUGCCUGGCAAGGGAAAGAUAAUGCCCAUCGUCUCCGUCUUGUCUCUUACUUGAAAUCUGCUACCCCCACGUGCAUGUUAGGCUAGGUGUGGAGAGAGCAGGCUCCGUCCCUAGGAAGGAGAACUUGGCAGAAGGUGUGUCUUGCAGACUGAGAUAUCGGAGAGGGAGGGUAGAAUAGCAGACGGGAGGAAGCUUGUGUUGGCAGAGGACUGGGCCAGGUAUCUGUCUGUGCAGCAUCCCAAACACCUCCUGGAGACUCCUGCCAUGUGUGGUCCCAACCAAGGUUGUCUCCCAGUAGACACGAUAUUAACCAUCCCCGGAGCCUAGCACACGGUAGAUGCUUCCUGUCUGCUCGUGGUACCAGGGGUUGAGGCAGCAGGGCCUGCAUGUGUGCAGGCUGAUUGAUGGCCUCCGGCUGCCAGAUAGGAAGAGAACACAACUCCGGACAUCUCACCAAAGCCCUCUGGGACCCGGGGAGCUGUUCAACUCAGGCAGGAGGCUGGAGACUUUCCGCACAGCUGGAUACCUCAUUGCCAGGCCCCAAUAUCCAUUCCUGAUGUCAGUUUUGGAGAGACUCAGUUUCCCUGUCUUUCCCUUCUCUAAGGAGGAUCCUGCCUGCAGCCCAUGAAGGGGAGACAGGAGCUGACAGUGCGGUGCAGCGUGGACUCCCUGCUUUUCACUCUGUAUAGAGCACUGCUCAGGGCAGAGAAAAAGGCUGCCACUGGCUUUUCUGGUGAGCCGAGGACAGCUGGGCUGGUGCUGUCCCUUAUAGAUCCCUCCUGGUUAGAUUGGUUUUCUUUCUUGGUACCCUCCACCCCUCCUCCAUUUCUUGACCAACAUCUUCCCUAUCUCAUGCCACAAACUCCAAGCUGGGACUCUUUAAACCCUAAGUUGGAACUGGCUGUGCUUGGGUGGCCUGCCAUUCGCCGUCUCCUAGUUUUUAAAUCCCAGGAAGUCUCAGAAGAAAAGCAGAGCUGGGACAGCAGCCUUUCAUGGCCCUGCACAUCACGUCCUUACUGAACGAGACACAGGGGUGACAAUCCCACAAGCAGGUUGAAGGCAAGAGGACCUGGGCUCUCCAGCUCUUUCCUUCUUCUAAGCCCAUACUCUGGAGAAAGUUCACUGUCUGCUGAUGGCCCUGGGACACAGAGGGGAAGGAGGUGACCUUCGGGAGGAAGUUGGGCUGGGCCUGGCUGGAUUCUUCCUCAAGAGAGGGUACGGGCAGCAGGGUUGCUUAGGAAUUGGUUUUUACGUUCAGCAUGGGAAAACCUGAUCCCAUGUCAGGGCCAGUGGAGACUAAACCCUGAUCAACCCACCAGGGUGCUGGGUGGAGAGUGGGAAGUGACAGAGACCAGGGGCAGUGACAGAGAGGAUUAGGGUGGGACCCCAAGGGUGGAAUACUGACUGGCCUUCUAGAUGUAAAAGCAGCUGGGAAAGCUAGUGACACACAUCUCUGGGAGGCAAAGAGGCACAGGCAGGUGGAUCUCUGAGGGUUCAAGGUCAGCUUGGUCUACAGAGUAAGUUCUAGGGCAGCUGGGCGACACAGGGAAACCCUGUCUUGAAAAUGGGAAAGGAGGUGUUGGGUGCUGGGGAAGCCUGGCUUCCAGAAGGCUGCCCGUGCAUCAGAGAGUUAACUGGAGGUGGUAGUGUCAUUGUGAGAGGGAGAUGACUGCAUCUCAGGGACACCAGAAGCUCUGUGUCCACCCAGGGAGUGUACAACUGGACAAGAGCUGGGGGUGAUUCUUCUGCACCCUGCUCUGAGAGCCGCAGCUGGGUGGGGGAAGGGGUAGGUACAGGGAAGUGGUUCUGGCCAGGAUGGAGGUUUGGACAUGUGCCAGGCUGCUUCCUUCCUGGACGGAGGUGACAGGCUGAGGUGACCAAGGCUGAGGGUGAGAGAAGAAGGAAAGAAGGAGCUAUGGAAACCUCCAUGGCUGUAGUGGCUUUCCCUUGUAAAACCAGCACUUGAGUGGCUGACCCUGAGGACCGUACAUAGCAGGUCAACCUGGGCUCUGUAUUGAGACAGACCCUGUGACAGCCUGGGAAGUGUGUAUGGGCCUGUGGGGUGAGAGGGUCUGGGUCAGUCCAGGCUCAGGCUGGAAUAGCCCAGGGACUUGGAUGUUAAUAACCAAGCCCAGGAUGAGGACAAGAGCGGAGCCUGGAGGAGGGACAGUGGAGGGAGGAGGAGUCAAGAAGAAGGAGAAUGGAGCAUGGAGGAGGAGAGAGAGGAGCCUUGGGGCAGGAGAUGGAGGGAUAUUGCCAAGAGAAUAAAGAGAGGAGCCACGGACCGGGAGAAAAUGUUUGCAUGACAAAUAUCUGGCUCCAGUCAAAUUUGAGGAUUGCUGUGUUGACUGAAGGCAGCCCUGGGCUCUUCUACCCCAUCACAGACAGAGUCACCGGGGACUUGGCGAGCCACCAGGAUACUCCCUACCUCCCACUCUCCCAGGUCAUGGGAGACCCCUUGGGACACGCGUGCGUCUCUGGGACCUGAUUCCGCUGCUGCGGCACACCUAGAUUGUGACUCAUACUUCUCCUACGUAUCCCUUGAGUCUUGAGUGCUUAAGACUACUCUAUCAAUAGAACAUGCUGGAAACAACUCUUAAAGGUGAAGAAGCUACUCAAGGGAGACACCAUCUACCUGGUUCUACUUGACAGAUACCCACCCAUAGAUCCCAGCCACCAUGUCGUGAGGAAACUCAACUGAGUGUGCAUCGGAACACCUUGCUGGAGGAGCCUCGAGGCUCCCAGGUGCUUACCACCAACACUGGAUUCCUGAAUGAAACCUGUGAAUUCACUGACAGCAUUUGUGUCGACCACGGAGAUCUCGGUUACCACCAUGCAGGACUGGCUGUGUUUUGUCCCCAAUGUGCCCUGUCCAGACUCCAGACUCACGGACCACGUGAGCAUUAAAAUAUUUCUCUGCA